UGGCUCAGUGGUUAAGAGCAUCUGGCUGCUCUUCCAGAGGUCCUGAGUUCAAUUCCCAG
rnacentral:tRNA from 1 species